CCUGAAUCUGGGAACACUCUGCCCAGUUUCUCCCAGAAAAUAAAACUCCAAUCUCCUUGGGAGAUUCUAUGACCAUACGUACAAUUUUAGCCCAAGCAUGUCUUUUUGGCUUUGUACCCAUCAGAUACCUGAUGUUUCCAGUGCAGAAUCUCUCAGGGGUUUAUUGGGCAAUCUAGCUCAUCUGUGUUGCUGCCCGCCCUGUGCCAGCAGAUUCAGAAAAGCCUGAAUUUGCAAAAAGUUUGUUUCGAUCAUCAUAGGCAAGGUGAAAUAGAAAGUCGAAGAAAUCAUCUCGGUCAUUACGAGUCCUCAAGUAGUUGCUUUUUGUACUUUGAAUAAAGACUUUAGUCAUAGUAGGAGAGAUAGACUGUAAUGGACUUACUUCACGAUGGCUGCACCAGAGGUUCCAAGAACGAGUUGGCUUUCAACUUCAACCCACAUCUAAAACACACCACUGUAGCCACACCCUACACCCUGUGGUUAUCCAGUUGUGAGUCCUAUUGGAGAGAUGAGGAAGAAUAUCAUGAAUUUAGCUGGUAUUAGAAAGUAGAACUUGGAAAAUAGAGUGUAACUGGAAAAUGAAGGGACUUAACUGAGACAAACAGCCUCUUCUUAUCCAUUUUUAAAAUGUUCAGAUUUAACUAGAUGACCAUGACCAUGAAGAACUUCUCAAGCUCUUUGGUUCUACAGGUGUAUGACAGUUUCCUGGAGGGGGUCAUAUGGAUCUACUACUACCUUCCCACUGACAUUAGGCAGAUGUUCAUUAGAUUGGUUUGAUAGAUGUAAUGGUUAAUAUUGAGUGUCAACUUGAUUGGAUUGAAGGAUGCAAAGUAUUGUUCCUGGGUGCGUCUGUGAGGGUGUUGCCAAAGGAGAUUAACAUUUGAAUCAUUGGACUGGGAGAGGCAGACCCACCCUCAAUCUGGGUGGGCACAAUCUAAUCAGCUGCCAGCAUGGCCAGCAUAAAAGCAGGCAGAAGAAUGUGGAAGGAGUAGACUGGCUCAGUCUCCUGGCCUACAUCUUUCUCCCACGCUGCAUGCUUCCUGCCCUCGAACAUUGGACUCCAAGUUCUUCAGUUUUGGGACUCUUGAACCUUUGACCACAGACUGAAGGCUACACUGUUGACUUCCCUACUUUUGAGCUUUUAGGACUCGGACUGGCUUCCUUGUUCCUCAGCUUGCAGACGGCCUAUUGUGGGACCUCACUUUGUGAUCAUGUGAGUCAAUACUCCUUAAUAAACUCUCCUUUAAAUAUACAUCUAUCUUGUUAGUUCUGUCCCUCUAGAGAACCUUGACUAAUACGAUAGGGAAGCCAUAGUGACUGUCACUAAUAUUCUAAUAAAAGAAUUAUUAUCUAUGCCAACUCUGGAGAGCCACAGGUAAGCUAUACAUAGAUCAAAGUGUAAACCAGGGGUUCUCUGAGUGUGAUUCCUGGACCAGCAGUAUGUGGUGACAUUUGAAAUGCAAAUUCUUGGGCCCCACCUCAGACCACUGAAUUAGAAACUCCAGAGGUGGAGCUCAGCAGUUUGUUUUAACUAGUUCUCCAGGUGAUGCUGAGGCACAUCACAGUUGGAAAUGGUGAGGUAAGUAAGGAAUUUCAGCAGUUCAACUGCUGAAAUGUAGAUCUUAACAAAGUGCUAAAUGAAUAGAGGAAAAAGGGAUAAUUAUCUGAGACAUUUGGAUCUUGUUUCACGAAUAGGAGUUCAGAUGAAGUUAGGGAGGUCUUUUGAAGUAUAGGAAACAAGACAUGCAAAGACUGGGGAGGUUAGGAAGACCAGACCUAUUUCAAGAUAUACAAUGGCCUAGUGGGGCUUGAGGUAGCAGGGUGCAUUCUUUUUCUUAGAUAUGCUUCCUCCUCUCUGCUCCAUGGUGCCACACAUGAUGCUGGUGAUAAAGGAGACUGAGCGAGGGUAAAGAUUCACAGUGCCAGCAAGGGCUUGGACAUUGGCAGCCUAUGGAUCAAAUUGUGCUUGCAGAUGGGCUGUAUUUGGUAUUUUAUUGUACAAACACUAUGUAUUUGGCAUAGCAUUAUACAAAUAAAUGUGAACUAACAUUUAAUAAUCAGUUUGGAUGUAUAUAUGUGUAUAUAUAUUAUGUAUAAAUAACAUAUAUGCUAACACAAAAAUAUAUGUGCUAUAUUUAUAUUCUAUACAAAUAACAUAUAAAUAUAUGUUAACAUAUAAAAAUAUAUG
rnacentral:lncRNA from 10 species